GGUGAACGCUGGCGGCGGGCCUAAUACAUGCAAGUCGAGCGAACAGACGAUGAGCUUUCUCCUCUGACGGUAGCGGCUGACGGGCGAGUAACACGUGGAUAACCUACCUAUUAUACGUGGAUAAUUUCGGGAAACCGGAUCUAAUACCGGAUAAUAUAUUGAACCGCAUGAUUCAAUAGUUAAUGACGCUUUUGCUGUCACUUAUAGAUGAUGUCGCGCCGCAUUAGCUAGUUGGUAAGGUAACGGCUUACCAAGGCAACGAUGCGUAGCCGACCUGAGAGGGUGAUCGGCCACACUGGAACUGAGACACGGUCCAGACUCCUACGGGAGGCAGCAGUAGGGAAUCUUCCGCAAUGGGCGCAAGCCUGACCGAGCCACACCGCGUGAGUGAUGAAGGUCUUCGGAUUGUAAAGCUCUGUUAUUAGGGAAGAAAAACAGCAUAAGUAAAUACGGCUGUUCUGACGGUACCUAAUGAGAAAGCAACGGCUAACUUCGUG
rnacentral:rRNA from 1 species